rnacentral:SRP_RNA from 1 species
GCAGCUGGGGCGGUAGCGGUGUCCUGUACCUUCAAUCCGCUAUAGUAGGGGUGAUACUAAUCUGAGGGCAUUUUGCUGUAGAGCAGCCCUUUAUAAGUGGCGAUGACGUUUGGGUCUUACGCAACAGGAAUCUAUGAAUCGUGUCAGGUCAGGAAUGAAGCAGCACUAAGUAGAAGCUCUUGUGUGCCGUGAGGGUGCCUGGACUGAGUUAACUGUAAAGGUAACGUCUGGGGCAGGUGUUCGAAGUGCAGUGCACG